CGUACAAGGACAUAACAAUAAUCACCACCGAUGAAAGACGAGUUGAUACCAAGAUGCCUAGCUAUGGCGGCCUUGGACCAACUGCCAGUGAACGCUCGCCAGGGUCUUUCUAAUUUCUCGAAAGCGAAAUCACGGAAAUUUUCCUUGCUGUAAUUGAUUCGGUGGCAUUGCCAUUGGAUUCCUAAAGACAUCCAAAGUUGGCUCGCGAAAUAUCCAAGUGUCCGUGUCGUUACGCGGCACAACCCUCAUACUGAUGCUGAGGUAACCGUAGCGAGUGAAGACGUUUACGGCACCACCAAGACGAGGCUUUUGAGAAUUCGUCGUUCGAUCGCCAAUCAGAACGAUCAUUGUCGUUAUCAGGAGACCCAUGCUCCUGCUCGUCCACAUCUCGCGAGGAUCGACACCGGAAAUGGUCCUAUCUGAAAUAAGAUUUAUCAUCAUUAUAAAAUCGUUUAAAAGGAGUCGUUCAAUUUUUUUUCUUUUCUUUUUUUCAUUUUUGUUAUAUCAUAUUUAAUAUAGAGACUAGAACUUUAAUAUAUUGAUUCGACAAAAUUAACAGAAACGAAUUAAUUAAAUGUCCGUUUUAUCGAAGAUUUCAAUUCCUUCGGAAAUGUUAAUAACGAUUAAAGGAUUUCAUGUUUUUGUUGAACUAACACAAUAGAGAUAAGAUUAAGAGUAAAAUCCAUUAUUUACUAUUGACAGAAGUUUAUGAUGCAUUGCCUUCAAAAAUAUUCUUUGUUUCUUUGUCUUGAAAUAUUUACUUAAGUAUAUCCACUAUUGGCAAUUUUCUUGCACAACUGUUACCAUUUUAAUUGUGUUGUGUUUUAUAAUGUAUGCUAGUUUUGCGAAUAAUGUAUAUUAGUUUGCUCACAUGAGAUAUCGUUAUCAAAAUUAAUGUGCGUUCUUUGAUUUAAAAUUAAAUAAUGAAAAAAUAUA